rnacentral:tRNA from 1 species
GGGCCUGUAGUUCAGUUGGCUAGAACGCUUCAUUUGCAAUGAAGAGGUCAGGAGUUCGACUCUCCUCAGGUCCA